GGAAGUCGGCAAAUUAGAUCCGUAACUUCGGGAUAAGGAUUGGCUCUGAAGAUUGAGAUAGUCGGGCUUGAUUGGGAAACAAUAACAUGGUUUAUGUGCUCGUUCUGGGUAAAUAGAGUGUCUAUCAUUUAUGGUGGUUACUUGUUCCCCGGAUAGUUUAGUUACGUAGCCAAUUGUGGAACUUUCUUGCUAAAAUUUUUAAGAAUACUAAUUGGCUCAAACCGAUUAGUUCUUAUUAAUUAUAACGAUUAUCAAUUAACAAUCAAUUCAGAACUGGCACGGACUUGGGGAAUCCGACUGUCUAAUUAAAACAAAGCAUUGUGAUGGCCCUAGCGGGUGUUGACACAAUGUGAUUUCUGCCCAGUGCUCUGAAUGUCAAAGUGAAGAAAUUCAAGUAAGCGCGGGUCACGGAUAGACAAUGGAUGUGAUGCCAAUGUAAUUUGUAACAUAGUAAAUUGGGAGGAUCUUCGAUCACCUGAUGCCGCGCUAGUUACAUAUAAAAACAUUAUUUAAUACAAUGACAAAGCCUAGAAUCAAUUGUAAACGACUUUUGUAACAGGCAAGGUGUUGUAAGUGGUUGAGCAGCUGCCAUACUGCGAUCCACUGAAGCUUAUCCUUUGCUUGAUGAUUCGA
rnacentral:ncRNA from 1 species